rnacentral:lncRNA from 1 species
ACUGCUGGAAAUCUAAUGCUGGAACAAAAUCGCAUUGCUGUGGAGCUUGCCAAGAAGCUGGAUUCUGAGAAGGAGAAAACUGUGGACGAUGACGAGGCUUAAAUUUUUCACCUUUUCGAUGAUUAAGGGGGAGAAAUUUAGGAACUUUAAUUAAUAAAACUUGUGUGCUUAACUGAUUAAGUACUUUAUGGCCCUAUGUUUUUUUAUCUGCUUUGGUUUUGAAGACUAAGUUGUUAAGUUGGUUUGAAUUUGGUUGGAUAUCAGGUGGUUUAUCCUGAUUGAAUUUGUUUAAGGUUGUUUUGGAUAAUUGUUGGAUACCAGGUGGUUUAUCCU